rnacentral:rRNA from 1 species
UUAAGCGACUAAGCGUACACGGUGGAUGCCCUGGCAGUCAGAGGCGAUGAAGGACGUGCUAAUCUGCGAUAAGCGUCGGUAAGGUGAUAUGAACCGUUAUAACCGGCGAUUUCCGAAUGGGGAAACCCAGUGUGAUCCGUCACACUAUCAUUAACUGAAUCCAUAGGUUAAUGAGGCGAACCGGGGGAACUGAAACAUCUAAGUACCCCGAGGAAAAGAAAUCAACCGAGAUUCCCCCAGUAGCGGCGAGCGAACGGGGAGGAGCCCAGAGCCUGAAUCAGUAUGUGUGUUAGUGGAAGCGUCUGGAAAGGCGUGCGAUACAGGGUGACAGCCCCGUACACAAAAAUGCACAUGCUGUGAGCUCGAUGAGUAGGGCGGGACACGUGGUAUCCUGUCUGAAUAUGGGGGGACCAUCCUCCAAGGCUAAAUACUCCUGACUGACCGAUAGUGAACCAGUACCGUGAGGGAAAGGCGAAAAGAACCCCGGCGAGGGGAGUGAAAAAGAACCUGAAACCGUGUACGUACAAGCAGUGGGAGCCUCUUUAUGGGGUGACUGCGUACCUUUUGUAUAAUGGGUCAGCGACUUAUAUUCUGUAGCAAGGUUAACCGAAUAGGGGAGCCGAAGGGAAACCGAGUCUUAACUGGGCGUUAAGUUGCAGGGUAUAGACCCGAAACCCGGUGAUCUAGCCAUGGGCAGGUUGAAGGUUGGGUAACACUAACUGGAGGACCGAACCGACUAAUGUUGAAAAAUUAGCGGAUGACUUGUGGCUGGGGGUGAAAGGCCAAUCAAACCGGGAGAUAGCUGGUUCUCCCCGAAAGCUAUUUAGGUAGCGCCUCGUGAAUUCAUCUCCGGGGGUAGAGCACUGUUUCGGCAAGGGGGUCAUCCCGACUUACCAACCCGAUGCAAACUGCGAAUACCGGAGAAUGUUAUCACGGGAGACACACGGCGGGUGCUAACGUCCGUCGUGAAGAGGGAAACAACCCAGACCGCCAGCUAAGGUCCCAAAGUCAUGGUUAAGUGGGAAACGAUGUGGGAAGGCCCAGACAGCCAGGAUGUUGGCUUAGAAGCAGCCAUCAUUUAAAGAAAGCGUAAUAGCUCACUGGUCGAGUCGGCCUGCGCGGAAGAUGUAACGGGGCUAAACCAUGCACCGAAGCUGCGGCAGCGACACUAUGUGUUGUUGGGUAGGGGAGCGUUCUGUAAGCCGUUGAAGGUGUGCUGUGAGGCAUGCUGGAGGUAUCAGAAGUGCGAAUGCUGACAUAAGUAACGAUAAAGCGGGUGAAAAGCCCGCUCGCCGGAAGACCAAGGGUUCCUGUCCAACGUUAAUCGGGGCAGGGUGAGUCGACCCCUAAGGCGAGGCCGAAAGGCGUAGUCGAUGGGAAACAGGUUAAUAUUCCUGUACUUGGUGUUACUGCGAAGGGGGGACGGAGAAGGCUAUGUUGGCCGGGCGACGGUUGUCCCGGUUUAAGCGUGUAGGCUGAUUUUCCAGGCAAAUCCGGAGAAUCAAGGCUGAGGCGUGAUGACGAGGCACUACGGUGCUGAAGCAACAAAUGCCCUGCUUCCAGGAAAAGCCUCUAAGCAUCAGGUAACAUCAAAUCGUACCCCAAACCGACACAGGUGGUCAGGUAGAGAAUACCAAGGCGCUUGAGAGAACUCGGGUGAAGGAACUAGGCAAAAUGGUGCCGUAACUUCGGGAGAAGGCACGCUGAUAUGUAGGUGAAGCGACUUGCUCGUGGAGCUGAAAUCAGUCGAAGAUACCAGCUGGCUGCAACUGUUUAUUAAAAACACAGCACUGUGCAAACACGAAAGUGGACGUAUACGGUGUGACGCCUGCCCGGUGCCGGAAGGUUAAUUGAUGGGGUCAGCCGCAAGGCGAAGCUCUUGAUCGAAGCCCCGGUAAACGGCGGCCGUAACUAUAACGGUCCUAAGGUAGCGAAAUUCCUUGUCGGGUAAGUUCCGACCUGCACGAAUGGCGUAAUGAUGGCCAGGCUGUCUCCACCCGAGACUCAGUGAAAUUGAACUCGCUGUGAAGAUGCAGUGUACCCGCGGCAAGACGGAAAGACCCCGUGAACCUUUACUAUAGCUUGACACUGAACAUUGAGCCUUGAUGUGUAGGAUAGGUGGGAGGCUUUGAAGUGUGGACGCCAGUCUGCAUGGAGCCGACCUUGAAAUACCACCCUUUAAUGUUUGAUGUUCUAACGUGGACCCGUGAUCCGGGUUGCGGACAGUGUCUGGUGGGUAGUUUGACUGGGGCGGUCUCCUCCUAAAGAGUAACGGAGGAGCACGAAGGUUGGCUAAUCCUGGUCGGACAUCAGGAGGUUAGUGCAAUGGCAUAAGCCAGCUUGACUGCGAGCGUGACGGCGCGAGCAGGUGCGAAAGCAGGUCAUAGUGAUCCGGUGGUUCUGAAUGGAAGGGCCAUCGCUCAACGGAUAAAAGGUACUCCGGGGAUAACAGGCUGAUACCGCCCAAGAGUUCAUAUCGACGGCGGUGUUUGGCACCUCGAUGUCGGCUCAUCACAUCCUGGGGCUGAAGUAGGUCCCAAGGGUAUGGCUGUUCGCCAUUUAAAGUGGUACGCGAGCUGGGUUUAGAACGUCGUGAGACAGUUCGGUCCCUAUCUGCCGUGGGCGCUGGAGAACUGAGGGGGGCUGCUCCUAGUACGAGAGGACCGGAGUGGACGCAUCACUGGUGUUCGGGUUGUCAUGCCAAUGGCACUGCCCGGUAGCUAAAUGCGGAAGAGAUAAGUGCUGAAAGCAUCUAAGCACGAAACUUGCCCCGAGAUGAGUUCUCCCUGAGACUUUAAGUCUCCUGAAGGAACGUUGAAGACGACGACGUUGAUAGGCCGGGUGUGUAAGCGCAGCGAUGCGUUGAGCUAACCGGUACUAAUGAACCGUGAGGCUUAACCU